AUUGACGUUUAUUUAUUUUAUUUUCUCGGGCUUUGAAUUUCGCUCCCACAUGCAACUUUUCUGCCAACGCAUUACAGGAUUGCUACUGGUGAUCAUGGUCAUUCUCAUCCUAUUUGCCCCCCUAUACCACAGGCCCUGUAACAUGGCUGGGAGAAUGUGGGACUGGUAUACCAGUAUCCUUCCUCACAUAAGGCGGCGGUAAGAUCAUUACAUCAGAUAUAGAAAUCCCAAGCCCUCAUAAUGGUGAAUGUCUGUGGUGGAUCUGAUGUAAAUAAUCAUGUCUUGCAAAUACUCAGUGUGCAUGUCACACACACAAAAAAUAAUGUGAAAUUGGUGUAAAUGAUGAACUGCCAGCCUGCCCUUCCACUUUGUCACUGAUUCAUCCAUAGAGAGGAACAAAAACAUGCUGAAAGGAGUGUUAUUCACUUGUAAGUUGUAAAUGUCCUGAGUCUGCACGAUGUGAAGUACUAUGUUACUUGGCUCUGCUUCAUCAAGAAUACAGAAUGACAUAUUGAAUAAUGAUGAAAUGUUAGUUAGUAAUUUUAAGAACUACUUACAAAUUUCAUUAUAUAUAUAUAUAUAUAUAUAUAUAAUAUAUUUACUAAGCAGUAUGAAAUAACAUUACAUAUUAACUAUAAAGAACAUUUAAACAACCUUUUAUAGGUUCAAUAAUGUCUGAGUGUGUGGUACUCCUCAAAGCAUGGAGUAACACACAAGGGAGUGUUGCACGGCACACAUGUAUUUUUUUAAAGUGCCUCUUCUUUGUCUUCCUUGUGCUGGAGAUGGACCUUGCAGUGCCGCCUGGACCUGCUACCCUGGGAAGUGGUUUGAGGAACUUCAGAGGGGAAAUGCCUGGCUGUCUGAGGCAGGACGGCCCCUGAACUGUGCUCCUCAAGCAGCCCUCUCAUCAGACUGAUCCUGAAUUGCAGGGAACCAGUGGAGUGCCCUAUCAAUAGUAAGGGGCCAGUAAGGACAUGACGAUGGACCCAGAGAUCCCAAGUCCCUCGUAGUGGUGGAUGUCAGUGGUGGAUCCAGUGUAACCAGUGGUGUUUUCUCCAGCUGUUCGGCGGAAUAGUGGUUUGUUUCCUGAUCUCCUCGGCAUUAGACCUCUGUGGGAGAUGCAGGUGGGGUCUGACUUUGAGGUCCAGGAGGGGUAAAAUUGCUGAUUGUUUACAUUGCAAUGCAGACUUAAGUGUCCAGAGCAUGUCAACAUAUUUGUUUCAUGUGAAUAAAACAUUAUGUUUGAAAGGUGAUUGUUUUUCUCAAUUAUUUUUGCUGCUGUCAUAUGAUUUGCACUGUAAACUUGUAUUCUAAUACCUCUGUGUUUAUUUGAAUGCCUGUUACAUACAUUUAUUUUAUCAUGUGUUUGAAAAGACUGAGCAGCUAUUUUAGACAUAAAUGACAAGCACUUAGCCAGUCUCUCUCUCCAUAGCAGCAGCAGCAUGACAACAGGUUUGGUGAGUUUCUCAGUUUUUCUGCGAGUACACAGUGUAUGUAUAUGGACAGUAAACUUGUAUUCUGUGUUUGUUUGAAUGUUCGUAACAUAAAAUAAACAU